rnacentral:lncRNA from 1 species
AGAGGCUUGAGCAAUUAGGAAACAACAGAGAGCUCAGAGUCCACAAAACAAACAAGUUAAGGGAUGCUUGGAAUAUUUGCACAUACAUGUGCCUUCCGCAUGAGGUCACAUAUAGACACCCUCCAGGCUGGGUGGGCUGCAGGCCCUUGGGAAGCAGAAACAGAGGCUGGCAGUGAUGAUCAUGGGCUUCAUGCGUAUCAACUUUUUUGAGUAUAAAGGAAAGAGAAAGAAAUUAAUUCAUCUCUCACAGGUCAGACUGACUCGUCGGUGAGCAGAGCCAUUUCUUUGAUAGGUGUUGGUGGGGGGGCGCUUUUUGCAAUGUUGCUUGGCUCCCCACACCGAUCCUGAGAGAGGACUAGGUCACUAGGAAGAAAGUCUUCCUGGAAAAGGUCCUAGGAGCUAAAGAGAUGCUGUUAGACAUCUCUGAACUACUCAGAAGAUGGACACUGGCUGGUUCAAUUGCUAUGAUAUCCAGGCACCACGCACAGAGAGAGACCCAGUGGAAGCUCAGGCCCAUCCCGCACCGUUCUUCCAUCCUGAAUGUAAAUGUGAUCCAUGAUACCGCCCAGGAGCAGGGAGACUGGGAGCAACCAAGUUUGAACCACAGAGUGUUACCCGUCCCCAUUCAACAGAUGGCAUCUACACGAUGGCCUGAGAGGACUUAGUUGCACCGGUCCAUUUGGAGACAGCACCUGCCCCUUCUGAGCUUUUCAGCUACAAAGGAAGCUGGCUGGAGAAGCCAGCAGCUGGAACGGAGCUGGAGACUAGGAGGCUGGAAGACACUGAAUGAGCGUGAAAUUGACCAGUUAAAGUUAAGCCCUUUCACCUGCUAGCACGGAAGCUCUGCUCACUGGUGCCACCGGAAGUUCAGAUGAGCCUCUGGCACAUUUAAAUAGAUACGCUGGUUUCCUUGGAUUUCAUUCAUUUCUUCUUUUUCUUUCUUUUGUUUUUGUUUGUUUGUUUAUUGCUGGUUUGGUUUGGUUUGGUUUGAGACAGAAUUUCUCUGUGUGGUUUUUGGGUGUCUUGGAAUUCCCAGAGAUCUGCCUGCUUCUGCCUUCUGGAAUUAAAGGCCCCUUCCCCCCCACACC